AUGGAGGGGCUCGGUCCGCGGAGGGGAAGUUGGACAAGAGGAGACUGGGGAGGGCCUGCGGCGGGGAGUCUAGGAACUAGGGGCGGGAGGGGGUUGUCCGGGAGGCAAGGGGAGCAGGCAUGGGCGGGGAAUCCUCCCCCAGCGGGGGCCGCUCACCUGCGCUGGGGGGCGGCGGCUCCUCGCACUCGGGGCUCAUCCGGGCGCCCCCCCCGCCCCGCCGCCAGCGGCUCGGGCCCCUGCUGUGGAGCCCGGUUUGAGGGGGCGGGGGGCGGCGGCGGGGACUCGCACACGCGCCUUCGGGCCUCGGGGCGGGAGGGUCCUGGCGCGCCGAGCCGCGGGGUGGCUGCGAGCGGACGGACGCGGGGGUCCGGGGCCCGCCGGCAGCCGGGGGGCGCGGGGAGGUCAGCGCGGUCUCUAGGCCGGCGGAGGCCCUCAGCGGGGAAGUCACCCCGGCUGGCCCGGCCCAGCGCCGCGCGGGAAAGCAAAGGCCGGUCAGGGAAGACGUCUCCUUCCGCAGUCCCGGCAGGCCGCAGGGCUGAGCAGCGGCCGUCGGAAGCCGAAGCCCACUUCCUCGGCCGCCCCCUUCCUCGCACGGGCUGGAUUUUCGGACUCUGCAGUCUUCUUGGGGCCUCCGCCGCCCGGCUCCGUCCACCACUAUCCCACAAUCCCCUAGCGCAGGGGCACGCAGGAAGCCCCGCCCACCCGCCGCCCGCCUGGUGCGCGGAGGCCGCGCGCCCAGGACCGGCAGUGCGCGUGCGCUUGGGGGCCCAGCCGCUCCCCACCCGCCCAACCAGCCCACGGCCCCAGAUGCGCUUGCGCUGGUUUGGUCCAACGAUCUCUCCCCGAAUAAACCCAGACAACCUAAUGCGCAGGCGCCGUGUUCAUCUACGACUCCGUUCCAAUGUCCAGAGAGAAUUCUGCUCCAGGAUUUCUCUACCCGCUUGCUCCUGGAAAUCUGUUCGCUACUCCGUCUCGUCAGAUUAUAAUCCUGCUUCGGCUGGGGUCCAUCUCCUGGGGAAUCCAUAG
rnacentral:lncRNA from 1 species